UGGGGAAUAUUGGACAAUGGGGGCAACCCUGAUCCAGCAAUGCCGCGUGUGUGAAGAAGGCCUUCGGGUUGUAAAGCACUUUAGGCUGUGAAGAAGAUGUGUAGUUUAAGAGAUGAUACAUUUGACGGUAGCAGCAGAAUAAGCACCGGCUAACUCUGUGCCAGCAGCCGCGGUAAUACAGAGGGUGCAAGCGUUAAUCGGAUUGACUGGGCGUAAAGGGCGCGUAGGCGGUUAUAUAAGAUAGAUGUGAAAUCCCUGGGCUUAACCUAGGAACGGCAUCUAAGACUGUAUAACUGGAGUAUUGUAGAGGGUAGUGGAAUUUCCGGUGUAGCGGUGAAAUGCGUAGAGAUCGGAAGGAACACCAAUGGCGAAGGCAGCUUGCUGGGACGGUACUGACGCUGAGACGCGAAAGCGUGGGGAGCAAACAG
rnacentral:rRNA from 1 species